AUAACAAUACAGGACUCUUUAGAGGCCCUGUAAUUGUAAUGAGUCCACUUGAAAUCCUUUAACUCUGAUCAAUUGGAGGGCAAGUCUGGUGCAGAGCGACUGACCCGUGCGUGCUGCAGCUGAAACUCCAG